AUGUUAUUUAUGAUUAAAAAAAAAUUGGCAAAAACAAGAAUAAUCGAAAGACAGAGAAGAGAGUUCGUCGUCUUGGUUCUUCUCCGGUUCCAGAUCCAGAGACUGGGCACCGGCGUUGUGACAUGAUCCUUUUGCUUUGUUAGUUUUCCGCUGUUGGUUCUCGGUGAAGGGUUGUCCCUCCGUCCGUACUGUUUCCAAUCAUAUAGCUACACCGAUUUGAUUAUCUCAUCGCUCAUUUUAUUUCCAGAUUUCUCUCCAAUUUCAGUUAGGUACUCCUUCGGUGGAGUUCUCGAUAAAGCUCUCGCCUCAGCUUCCGGUGAUGCAUCCGUUCAGGAUCUUCUCGUCGAUCGUACUCUCGAACUCGCCUCUCUUCUUCUCGAUUCCACUAAACGAUGCUUCCGGAAGCGAGCUUCUGUUCACAAUUCCAAUUCCUAGUUCCUACCUCCAGAACUCACCAUUAAGAUGGCACAAUCCAGGAAAGCUUGCAUUCGGUUCUUUGACGAAGGCCAACGUAUUAUGCUUGAGAUUGUGAAAUAGACCCGUUUCGAACUGUGAAAGAGAUCUAUUUUGAACGACUUGCUUGCCUUUGCCAAACCAGAAAUGAUCCCUCAGCCCAUGAAACAUCUCUCAUACUUUUUGUCUUUUGAGAUUUGUUUUGACUUGGGUAUUGUUAAUCUUUUUUUGCAUGAGCUGAUCUCAGAAGUGUAUGCAUAAAGGUAUUGUAUGAAUAUUAUAAUUAAUAUAUGGUAUUCUUUUGGUUUGUUGAUAUAA